rnacentral:rRNA from 1 species
GAAGCCCCAGUAAACGGCGGCCGUAACUAUAACGGUCCUAAGGUAGCGAAAUUCCUUGUCGGGUAAGUUCCGACCUGCACGAAUGGCGUAACGAUCUCCACACUGUCUCGGCCAGAGACUCGGUGAAAUUGCAGUCGCGGUGAAAAUUCCGUGUACCCGCAGAAAGACGGAAAGACCCUGUGCACCUUUACUAUAGCUUGACAUUGGAUUUUGGGCCUGCAUGUGUAGGAUAGGUGGGAGGCUGUGAACCCUGUACGCCAGUAUGGGGGGAGCCAUCCUUGAAAUACCACCCUUGCAUGUUUAAGAUCCUAACUUCUUCCGGUUAUCCCGGAGAAAGACAGUGUCUGGCGGGUAGUUUGACUGGGGCGGUCGCCUCCUAAAGUGUAACGGAGGCAUGCAAAGGUUCCCUCAGCCUGAUCGGAAACCAGGCGCUGAGUGCAAACGCAUAAGGGAGCUUGACUGUAAGAGAGACAUCUCGAACAGGAACGAAAGUUGGCGUUAGUGAUCCGGUGGUCCCGAAUGGAAGGGCCAUCGCUCAUUGGAUAAAAGGUACGCCGGGGAUAACAGGCUGAUCGCAUCCAAGAGUUCACAUCGACGAUGCGGUUUGGCACCUCGAUGUCGGCUCAUCACAUCCUGGGGCUGAAGCAGGUCCCAAGGGUACGGCUGUUCGCCGUUUAAAGUGGUACGCGAGCUGGGUUUAAAACGUCGUGAGACAGUUUGGUCCCUAUCUUCUGUGGGCGAAGGAGAAUUGAGAGGGCCUGUCCCUAGUACGAGAGGACCGGGAUGGACGCACCCCUGGUGAUCCUGUUGUCGCGCCAGCGGCAUAGCAGGGUAGCUAUGUGCGGAAGGGAUAACCGCUGAAAGCAUCUAAGCGGGAAGCCUGCCUCAAGAUAAGUUCUCCCCUCGAAAGAGCUGAAGGGCCCGGGUAGACUACCCGGUCGAUAGGCUGGAGGUGUAAGCGCGGCGACGUGCUCAGCUGACCAGUACUAAUAGCCCGAGCGGCUUAUUUUU